rnacentral:tRNA from 1 species
GGUAGAUUGGUCAAGCGGUUAAGACGCCGCCCUCUCACGGCGGAAACAGGGGUUCGAUUCCCCUAUCUACUGCUA